GGGCAAUUAGUUUAGUGGUAUAACGUCCGUUUUGCAUCUUGGCAUAUCUACGGAAGGUCGUGAUUUCGAUUAUCACAUUGUCCA